CCAGCCUAGGGCUGAAAAUCUCUAUAAUAAAGUAAUAAUAAUAAUAAUAAUAUUGAACAAAUCCUGGAGCAGCAGAAACACAUUUAUUCAAGUCGAAAUAACGAUUUUGUUUCGAGAACGGAAGGAAUUCUUGCGGGUGAGUUUUAUUUUCUUUCCACUAUUCAUAUUUCUAAUAGGAUUGUUUCUCUUGCAGACUCUGGACAAAAUCAAACUCAAAAAUAUGAGAGAAUUCCACAAAAACUGUGCUGGAAAUUUAGAAAUCAACGACUCUUCAGCUCUGUGCCAGCAAGUUUGAGCCCUGAUAACGUAACAUGAACAUUAGAUUUUUUUUGUUCGAGCGAGUUCCUACGAUGGAAAUCUCGGUGCAAGCAUACGGGAAAGAUGCGGACAUUUGAGCAUGGGGUGACCGUGGAGGCACGUGCCUGGAAUAUCUUCGUAUGGAGUUUGAAAUGAAGAGCUAAAAUAACAUUGUCGCGGAAGAUAAAUAUUGAUGAACUUCGCUGUGUAUACGAAUUCUAAAUUUAGAAGUAUUUAGCAUUAAGACAGCUAAAAAACUAAUAAACUAUAUUUUUGUUCAUAAUUUCAACUACUUAAUCAUAGUUUUGUUCAUAAUUUAGAUUUAAUACAUUUUUCUCACAUAUUCGGUGACAAAAUUAAAAUUACAAAAAAAUGUUCACAUUGAAAUAAAAUGAACGUAUCUUACUGCGGUUGGCUUAACGAUGUUUGUUAAAUAUUAAUAUUUAGUUAUUUUCCUAAGAUAUCUACGCUCCAUAAGCUUUUAUUGUUAGAUAUUUGACUUGAGAAAAAUAUUGUAAAACAACAAUAGAGAACAGAUGCUGAAAACAGCUAAAAUGGAACCACCGAUAGUUGAUACAUUUAAUAAAUAAAUUUCCUUAGCUUAAUCUUUGAGAAAAAAAUGAGAAAAUUACAACAAGUGUUUGAACGUGAGUAUUUCACAAUAUAAUACAAUAUAAUAUUCGGUUGAACGAUACGUGUUAAGAUUUCUAUUUUGUAUCUUCAAAGGAAAUCUGGAAUUAUCAGCAAAACAAAUGAACGACCCGUUUUACUGAAGAUUUGUACCAGUUGUAUUCUUCUGCAAAAUUAGAAAUACCUUUGGUUUGAGAUCCACAAGGUCAACGGCUGAGGAAUGGAAUAAAAAUCCCAUCGGGUAAGGCCAUGUUUUCCGCCUUCAUGCUACAAGAGCAAAACACAGCUUUCAGAUAGGAUAAUUAAGAACACAAAAUAAAUAAAUAAAAAAAAACAAUGGAUUGUUAGUGAAUAAAAUAUUGCUAUUUUCUGAGCAUAACGUAACUUUAUUGCGUUUCAAAUCCUUUGUUUCGAUGGUUAAACAAACAAAACAGUUUUAAUUUCCGUGGAUAGAAUGACAGUUCCAUCGAUAAAAUGACAGUUCAUCCCGAUUAAAAAAAUCUCCAUACAAACUUUAAAUGCAUUUUAAAAAUAGUUUCCGAGCACUAAAAAUGAUGAAAUUUUGGAUUUCGACUAAUUUUUGAACGGAGAUUCCGAUUAUUAAAUAAUUUGGAUGCCCCUAAAGAACCCAAUUAUGAAUAAAACUAAUAAUGGAAGCACAAUUUUUGUAUUAUUUUAAAAUCAUCAUUAUGAAUGUAAUAAAAAUAUUUUUCAACUAUUUAAAAAAAAAACAGUACUUUUAUUUUUGAUCGUAUGACAACCAUUGAAAUGUUUUUUUUUGCGAGCACUUUUAUCUUUCAAAAACAACAAUCCAAUAUAAAUAUCUAUAAAUAUCCAUAUAAAUACAAGGUGUUAGGUUCAUGAGUGCAAACUUUUUAA